rnacentral:rRNA from 1 species
UACGUAGGGAGCAAGCGUUGUCCGGAAUCAUUGGGCGUAAAGCGCGCGUAGGCGGCCCCGUAAGUCCGCUGUGAAAGUCAAAGGCUCAACCUUUGAAAGCCGGUGGAUACUGUGGGGCUAGAGUCCGGAAGAGGCGAGUGGAAUUCCUGGUGUAGCGGUGGAAUGCGCAGAUAUCAGGAGGAACACCAAUAGCGAAGGCAGCUCGCUGGGACGUUACUGACACUGAGGCGCGAAAGCGUUGGGAGCGAACAGG